CAAAAACAUAGCCUUUAGCAUAUUCAAAUAUUAAAGGUAACGCCUGCCCAGUGAUAUAUUAAACGGCCGCGGUAUCCUAACCGUGCAAAGGUAGCGUAAUCACUUGUCCUCUAAAUAAGGACUAGUAUGAAUGGCUAAAUGAGGAUUAACCUGUCUCCUUUAGACAACCAAUGAAACUGAUCUACCAGUACAAAAGCUGGUAUAAACCCAUAAGACGAGAAGACCCUGUGGAGCUUUAAAUUACCCGCCAAGUACAAAAUACAAUAAAACACUAAUGGCCAACAAUUUUAAGUUGGGGCGACUUCGGAGAAAAACAAAACCUCCGAGCAUAAAGAAUAUACCUCUAACUAAGGCUAACAAGCCAAAGCAAAAAUUGACCCAGUAAAACUGAUCACCGAACCAAGUUACCCCAGGGAUAACAGCGCAAUCUUCUUCAAGAGUCCAUAUCGACAAGAAGGUUUACGACCUCGAUGUUGGAUCAGGACACCCAAAUGGUGCAGCCGCUAUUAAAGGUUCGUUUGUUCAACGAUUAACAGUCCUACGUGAUCUGAGUU
rnacentral:rRNA from 1 species